AUUGAACGCUGGCGGCAUGCUUAUCACAUGCAAGUCGAACGGAAACAGCAAGAGCUUGCUCUUGGCUGUCGAGUGGCGGACGGGUGAGUAACGCGUGGGAAUCUACUCAGUAGUGGGGGAUAGGCAGGAGAAAUCCUGAUUAAUACCGCAUACGUUCUACGGAUGAAAGGUGGCCACUCCUUGGAAGCUAUCGCUAUUGAAUGAGCCCGCGUCAGAUUAGCUAGUUGGUGGGGUAAAGGCCUACCAAGGCGACGAUCUAUAGCUGGUCUGAGAGGACGACCAGCCACAUCGGGACUGAGACACGGCCCGGACUCCUACGGGAGGCAGCAGUGGGGAAUAUUGGACAAUGGGCGCAAGCCUGAUCCAGCAAUGCCGCGUGUGUGAAGAAGGCCUGAGGGUUGUAAAGCACUCUCAAUUGUGAAGAAGAUAAUAAGUUUAAUACGCUUGUUGUUUGACGUUAACUUUAGAAGAAGCACCGGCUAACUCUGUGCCAGCAGCCGCGGUAAUACAGAGGGUGCAAGCGCUAAUCGGAAUUACUGGGCGUAAAGCGCGCGUAGGCGGCUACUUAAGUCAGAUGUGAAAUCCCCGGGCUCAACCUGGGAACUGCAUCUGAAACUGGGUAGCUAGAGUUUGGGAGAGGGAAGUAGAAUUUCAGGUGUAGCGGUGAAAUGCAUAGAGAUCUGAAGGAAUACCAGUGGCGAAGGCGACUUCCUGGCCUAAAACUGACGCUGAGGUGCGAAAGCGUGGGUAGCAAACGGGAUUAGAUACCCCGGUAGUCCACGCCGUAAACGAUGUCAACUAGUCGUUGGUCUCCUUGAGGGAUCAGUGACGCAGCUAACGCAUUAAGUUGACCGCCUGGGGAGUACGGUCGCAAGACUAAAACUCAAAGGAAUUGACGG
rnacentral:rRNA from 1 species